UACGAAGGGGGCUAGCGUUGCUCGGAAUUACUGGGCGUAAAGGGCGCGUAGGCGGAACUGUUAGUCAGGCGUGAAAGUCCUGGGCUCAACCUGGGAACUGCGCUUGAUACGGCAGAGCUAGAGGAUGGAAGAGGCUCGCGGAAUUCCCAGUGUAGAGGUGAAAUUCGUAGAUAUUGGGAAGAACACCGGUGGCGAAGGCGGCGAGCUGGUCCAUUACUGACGCUGAGGCACGAAAGCGUGGGUAGCGAACAGG
rnacentral:rRNA from 1 species